rnacentral:rRNA from 1 species
AGUGAACGCUGGCGGUAGGCCUAACACAUGCAAGUCGAACGGCAGCACAGUAAGCGCUUGCUCUUACGGGUGGCGAGUGGCGGACGGGUGAGGAAUACAUCGGCAUCUACUUUUUCGUGGGGGAUAACGUAGGGAAACUUACGCUAAUACCGCAUACGACCUACGGGUGAAAGCAGGAGAUCUUCGGACCUUUCGCGAUUGAAUGAGCCGAUGUCGGAUUAGCUAGUUGGCGGGGUAACGGCCCACCAAGGCGACGAUCCGUAGCUGGUCUGAGAGGAUGAUCAGCCACACUGGAACUGAGACACGGUCCAGACUCCUACGGGAGGCAGCAGUGGGGAAUAUUGGACAAUGGGCGCAAGCCUGAUCCAGCCAUACCGCGUGGGUGAAGAAGGCCUUCGGGUUGUAAAGCCCUUUUGUUGGGAAAGAAAAGCAGCAGGUUAAUACCCCGCUGUUCUGACGGUACCCAAAGAAUAAGCACCGGCUAACUUCGUG